rnacentral:rRNA from 1 species
GAUGAACGCUGGCGGCGUGCCUAAUACAUGCAAGUCGAGCGAACGGACGAGAAGCUUGCUUCUCUGAUGUUAGCGGCGGACGGGUGAGUAACACGUGGAUAACCUACCUAUAAGACUGGGAUAACUUCGGGAAACCGUAGCUAAUACCGGAUAAUAUUUUGAACCGCAUGGUUCAAAAGUGAAAGACGGUCUUGCUGUCACUUAUAGAUGGAUCCGCGCUGCAUUAGCUAGUUGGUAAGGUAACGGCUUACCAAGGCAACGAUGCAUAGCCGACCUGAGAGGGUGAUCGGCCACACUGAACUGAGACACGGUCCAGACUCCUACGGGAGGCAGCAGUAGGGAAUCUUCCGCAAUGGGCGAAAGCCUGACGGAGCAACGCCGCGUGAGUGAUGAAGGUCUUCGGAUCGUAAAACUCUGUUAUUAGGGAAGAACAUAUGUGUAAGUAACUGUGCACAUCUUGACGGUACCUAAUCAGAAAGCCACGGCUAACUACGUG